rnacentral:rRNA from 1 species
AUUGAACGCUGGCGGCAUGCCUUACACAUGCAAGUCGAACGGCAGCACGGACUUCGGUCUGGUGGCGAGUGGCGAACGGGUGAGUAAUGUAUCGGAACGUACCAUUGAGUGGGGGAUAACUAUACGAAAGGAUAGCUAAUACCGCAUAUUCUCUCCGGAGGAAAGCAGGGGACCGCACGGCCUUGCGCUCAUUGAGCGGCCGAUAUCAGAUUAGCUAGUUGGUGAGGUAAAGGCUCAGCAAAGCGACGAUCUGUAGCGGGUCUGAGAGGAUGAUCCGCCACACUGGAACUGAGACACGGUCCAGACUCCUACGGGAGGCAGCAGAGGGGAAUUUUGGACAAUGGGGGCAACCCUGAUCCAGCCAUGCCGCGUGAGUGAAGAAGGCCUUCGGGUUGUAAAGCUCCUUCGGCCGGGAAAAAAUCGCAUGGGUUAAUACCCUGUGUGGAUGAUGGUACCGGAAUAAGAAGCACCGGCUAACUACGUGCCAGCCGCCGCCGUAA